rnacentral:snRNA from 1 species
AUCCUCUCUGGCCUCUUUUGGCUAAGAUCAUGUGUAGUAUCUGUUCUUAAUACUGUAAGAAGUAUUAUAUUCCUACGGGAAUUUCUUCUUUCGGCAUUUUUCAAACCUGCCCGACCUCUGUAGCUUGCUACACGUCGUGGCGCGAUGUCGCUGGCCAUACACUACAGCCUUCUGAUGUCAAGGUAA